AGACCUUUGGUUGAUUUUGCAAAGCUGGCAAACGCUAGUAUAGCUUAUCCACAGGAAAACUCUUGCUGGCAAACUUUGCUUUGUUAAAUGAAUAUCCCUUUGAUUUGUUGUUAUUUGUUUUAAACAUGACUUUCUAGUCCUACUCUCUAAAGCAGUCAUAAGCCCUUUCAUUGGAUCUGAGACAGACAGGAUUUGCUGCUCACAGGACUGGGAUAAAAUUCUAAGUGGAAGAUAUUAGAAAGCAAGGACAGUGUGCCACAGCCUUCUUCCUCUCUUGCAAGCUCGGAAUGGAAAAAUUUAAUGAGACUUGUCCCUGACAUUAUUUGAAAGAAUCAAUGAGCAGCUCAGAAUAAGAAAACAAAGCAGGAAGAAUCAGGAAGCCAAAACAUCCUUAAGCUACUGGCUAUCUUGGGAGGGAUUACUCAUCUAUGAAAUUUCAGCGGUGAAAGGGAAGCCAACAUGAGCUUGAAUGAAUGGACAAGGAUGUUGUACAGCCUCAUCCCUUCUUCAUCAAAGAUCCAAAACCUCAAAGAGAUUCCCAGAGAAGACAUGUGACAAGAACAUGC